UCCUAAUUACACCAAUCAGCUCUAAGCAGGUUUUUGCCCUAAGAUGGAAAAAACAGCAAUCUGGAGUUUUCUUUUUGUUGUUUUUAUUCACAGAGCCUGGAGUCAGAUCAAACUGGAGCAGUCAGCCUCUGAGAUGAAGAAACCUGGCGAGACAGUGAAGAUGUCUUGUGUUAUUUCUGGUUACAGCAUGACAAGCUAUAAUAUCCACUGGAUUAGACAGAGACCUGGGAGAGCUCUGGAGUGGAUGGGGUGGAUGUACACUGGAAGGAAUGAUCCCACCUAUGCCAGUUCCUUCCAAAGUCGUUUCAUCAUGACUGAAAAUGUCCCCAGCAGCACCCAGUACCUGGAGAUCAAGAGUCUGACAGCAGAAGAUUCUGCUGUUUAUUUCUGUGCUCGAAGAGACACAGUGACUGAAAGCAGAGGAACAGCUGCACAAAAACCUCGACAGCAAACAACAACAAUGUGGAGCCUUGCUCAGACACUUGGUUUUAUGGCUAAUGAAUAUUGA